UGGUAGUGUAUUGGACAACCAUGGCUUUAACGGGUAACGGAGGAUUAGGGCUCGAUUCCGGAGAGGGAGCCUGAGAAACGGCUACCACAUCUAAGGAAGGCAGCAGGCGCGUAAAUUACCCAAUCCUAAUUCAGGGAGGUAGUGACAAGAAAUAACGGACUGAGGCCUACGCUUCAGGAUUGCAAUGAGUAGAAUUUAAACCCCUUUGCGAGGAUCAAUUGGAGGGCAAGUCUGGUGCCAGCAGCCGCGGUAAUUCCAGCUCCAAUAGCGUAUAUUAAAGUUGUUGCAGUUAAAAAGCUCGUAGUUGGAUUUCUGGGAGGGUGCCAAUGUCCGCUUGUUGCGUGUGCAGCGGCGCCCUCCCAUCCUUCUGUUAACGUUUCUUGGUAUUAACUUACUGGUUGCGGGCUCAGAUAUUUUACCUUGAGAAAAUUAGAGUGUUUAAGGCAGGCUUGUGCCCGAAUACAUUAGCAUGGAAUAAUAGAAUAGGACUUUGGUCUCCUUUGUUGGUUUGAGGGACUAGAGUAAUGAUUAAUAGGGACAGUUGGGGGCAUUAGUAUUUAAUUGUCAGAGGUGAAAUUCUCGGAUUUGUUAAAGACUAACUUAUGCGAAAGCAUUUGCCAAGGAUGUUUUC
rnacentral:rRNA from 1 species